rnacentral:rRNA from 1 species
CUGGCCUCAAAUCAGGUGGGAUUACCCGCUGAACUUAA